UAGAUACCCUGGUAGUCCACGCCCUAAACGAUGUCUACUAGUUGUCGGGGAUUAAUUUCCUUGGUAACGCAGCUAACGCGUGAAGUAGACCGCCUGGGGAGUACGGUCGCAAGAUUAAAACUCAAAGGAAUUGACGGGGACCCGGCACAAGCGGUGGAUGAUGUGGAUUAAUUCGAUGCAACGCGAAAAACCUUACCUACGCUUGACAUGUCCGGAACCUUGGAGAGAUUCGAGGGUGCCCGAAAGGGAA
rnacentral:rRNA from 1 species